rnacentral:rRNA from 1 species
CGCGAGACGUCCUGCCGGUGGGUUUAGCUCGUUCGCGGGCGGCCCAACUUGAAAUCCCACCGCGGUGCUCUUGACUGAGUGUCGAGGUGGGCCGGCACAUUUACUUUGAACAAAUUAGAGUGCUUAAAGCAGGCUAAAACUUCGCCUGAAUAUUGUGUGCAUGGAAUAAUGGAAUAGGACCUCGGUUCUAUUUUGUUGGUUUUCGGAACACCGAGGUAAUGAUUAAUAGGGACGGAUGGGGGCAUUCGUAUUGCGACGUUAGAGGUGAAAUUCUUGGAUCGUCGCAAGACGGACAGAAGCGAAAGCAUUUGCCAAAAACGCUUUCAUUGAUCAAGAACGAAAGUUAGAGGUUCGAAGGCGAUCAGAUACCGCCCUAGUUCUAACCAUAAACGAUGCCAGCUAGCGAUCCGCCGACGUUCCUCCGAUGACUCGGCGGGCAGCUUCCGGGAAACCAAAGCUUUUGGGUUCCGGGGGAAGUAUGGUUGCAAAGCUGAAACUUAAAGGAAUUGACGGAAGGGCACCACCAGGAGUGGAGCCUGCGGCUUAAUUUGACUCAACACGGGAAACCUCACCAGGCCCGGACACCGGAAGGAUUGACAGAUUGAGAGCUCUUUCUUGAUUCGGUGGGUGGUGGUGCAUGGCCGUUCUUAGUUGGUGGAGCGAUUUGUCUGGUUAAUUCCGAUAACGAACGAGACUCUAGCCUGCUAACUAGGCGUAUCGCGACAUCUCAAAGGCCCGCCGGCCCGGCGCUCUCGCGUCGCGGUCGCGCGCGGUUUUUACUGUCGGCGUACAAUAAAUUCUUCUUAGAGGGACAGGCGGCUUCUAGCCGCACGAGAUUGAGCAAUAACAGGUCUGUGAUGCCCUUAGAUGUUCUGGGCCGCACGCGCGCUACACUGAAGGAAUCAGCGUGUCCUCCCUGGCCGAGAGGCCCGGGUAACCCGCUGAACCUCCUUCGUGCUAGGGAUUGGGGCUUGCAAUUGUUCCCCAUGAACGAGGAAUUCCCAGUAAGCGCGAGUCAUAAGCUCGCGUUGAUUACGUCCCUGCCCUUUGUACACACCGCCCGUCGCUACUACCGAUUGAAUGAUUUAGUGAGGUCUUCGGACCGGUACGCGGUGGCGCUUUCGCGUCGCCGAU